UGGGGAAUAUUGGACAAUGGGCGCAAGCCUGAUCCAGCCAUACCGCGUGGGUGAAGAAGGCCUUCGGGUUGUAAAGCCCUUUUGUUGGGAAAGAAAUCCAGCUGGUUAAUACCCGGUUGGGAUGACGGUACCCAAAGAAUAAGCACCGGCUAACUUCGUGCCAGCAGCUGCGGUAAUACGUAGGGGGCGAGCGUUAUUCGGAAUUACUGGGUGUAAAGGGUAUGUAGGCGGCCCUUCAAGUCGCGUGUCAAAGUCCAGUGCUCAACGCUGGGUGUGCACGCGAUACUGACGGGCUUGGGGGCUGGAGAGGUGAGCGGAAUUCCCGGUGUAGUGGUAAAAUACGUAGAGAUCGGGAGGAACACCAGCGGCGCAGGCGGCUCACUAGACAGUUUCUGACGCUAAGGUACGAAAGCGUGGGGAGCAAACA
rnacentral:rRNA from 1 species